rnacentral:rRNA from 1 species
GACGAACGCUGGCGGCGUGCUUAACACAUGCAAGUCGAACGGUAAGGCCCUUCGGGGUACACGAGUGGCGAACGGGUGAGUAACACGUGGGUGAUCUGCCCUGCACUUCGGGAUAAGCCUGGGAAACUGGGUCUAAUACCGGAUAGGACUCCUGGCUUCAUGGUUGAGGGUGGAAAGCUUUUGCGGUGUGGGAUGGGCCCGCGGCCUAUCAGCUUGUUGGUGGGGUAAUGGCCUACCAAGGCGACGACGGGUAGCCGGCCUGAGAGGGUGACCGGUCACACUGGGACUGAGAUACGGCCCAGACUCCUACGGGAAGCAGCAGUGGGGAAUAUUGCACAAUGGGCGCAAGCCUGAUGCGGCGACGCCGCGUGAGGGAUGACGGCCUUCGGGUUGUAAACCUCUUUCAGCUAUGACGAAGCGCAAGUGACGGUAGUAGCAGAAGAAGGACCGGCCAACUACGUGCCAGCCGCCGCAGUAA